AUUGAACGCUGGCGGCAUGCCUUACACAUGCAAGUCGAACGGCAGCAUGGAGAGCUUGCUCUCUGAUGGCGAGUGGCGAACGGGUGAGUAAAGCAUCGGAACGUACCGUGUAGUGGGGGAUAACGUAGCGAAAGUUACGCUAAUACCGCAUACGCACUGAGGUGGAAAGCAGGGGAUCGUAAGACCUUGCGCUAUACGAGCGGCCGAUGUCAGAUUAGCUAGUUGGUAGGGUAAAGGCCUACCAAGGCGACGAUCUGUAGCGGGUCUGAGAUGAUGAUCCGCCGCACUGGGACUGAGACACGGCCCAGACUCCUACGGGAGGCAGCAGUGUGGAAUAUUGGACAAUGGGCGCAAGCCUGAUCCAGCCAUACCUCGUGGGUGAAGAAGGCCUUCGGGUUGUAAAGCCCUUUUGUUGGGAAAGAAAUCCUGUCGAUUAAUACUCGGUGGGGAUGACGGUACCCAAAGAAUAAGCACCGGCUAACUUCGUGCCAGCCGCCGCAGUAAAAC
rnacentral:rRNA from 1 species